rnacentral:misc_RNA from 1 species
AAAAUGGUCACAAAUGCAUCCAACACUAUAGAUAUGAACAACUCAACCAACCCCACAAGUUCAACAUAAUCAUCGAAAUAGAGGUGGGCAAACUCAACAUGAAAAGAGCAAACAAUCCCAAGGCCAAGCUAGGCCUUGUGUUCAUCAAUACAGAUUGCAAAAAUCCCACUGCUUGACAUACAUGAGAAUUGUAGUCUGGAAAAUAUUGCUUCUCCCAUUCCAUCCACUCGCAAGGGUACUCGUAAGUUGUCUCUGUCAACUUCAUCUCCCGUAUACGCUUUCUAAGAACGAUCAUGCUUUCGUCGACUGAUUUGCCCUCAUAAUCGCGGCCAAAUCUGUCUCUUUUUGAUGCUGAAAUAAUCUUGUGGGAAGGUUUGAGGCUAAUCUUUUGGUAAAAGUGCAACGAUUUGGCAGGAAAUGGGUGCGCUGGGACAGGGAGAGAUGAUGAGUGUAGGAUUGUUGGCUUUUCCAU